CCCCCCCCCCCCCCCCCCCCCCCCCCCCCCCCCCCCCCCCCCCCCCCCCCCCCCCCCCCCCCCCCCCCCGGCUGCCCGCGCUGCGAGACGGGGAGGGAGGGACGGGAGGGUUCUCCGCCCGUUCUCCGUUCCCUGCCGGGUUCCCCGUUCUCUGGCGGAGUCUCUAUUCUCUGCCCUGUUCCCCGUUCUUUGCCGCUGCCUCUUGCGGAGGAAAGCGGAGUUUUACAAUACUCGAGCUCUCUCGUGGGAGGGCCGAACCAGCGAACCAACCGAACACUGUGCAGUGUGAAGUGUUGAACAACUUCCUCGCAGGGAGGACGGUUCUCAACUCCCGAGAAGGCCGUUGUUUAUUUCUAACUGCGGAAGGCCAAGCUCCUUUUCACGAAGAAUCUCUUGUCUCUGUUAAGUCAGCUCCCAGUUUCUGAGAGCAAAAUAUUUGACAGAAUAUCCAAGGGGAGAGAAGCACCCUGGUGCUGGUUCUCAGCAUAAGGAGUUUUGAGACUGGCUGAUUUCUCAGGAGCAAGAAUCAACAUUUCAACAGCUGUAAGUAUUUUUUAGGAAAAGUCCCCUGAAAGUGGUUUCACCUGUGUCUGCUUCUUCUCUUAACAUAGUGAAUUUAUGUAGUUCACUUUUCCUCUGGCUUUGCAUUAAAAUGUUUUUGUAGGAUGGACUUAGAGCUCCUGAAGAGGCUGCGCCAGGUCAGCCAGGAUCUUCUACAAAGGCUGAGAAUGAAGCAGGAAGAGAUCAGAAAAGAACUUCCCAGCAAGCUACUCCUUCCAACACCUCUUCAAAGCAGUGCAGCUGCUGACAGAUGUGUCCCCUUGCCCAGGAGAGUGAAGGAAAACCAGGUGGAUGCAGUAAAGUCUACAGCUGACCCUGAAAUAAUGGUGUUGGUGGAACCCAGGGCUGACCCAGCCCUCAGUUCAUCUGUUAAACACAGCAGCAGUGACAGAGGGGUACAGCAUCCGCAAGCAAAGCCACAGGAAGGAGCAGGUUUUAAUUCCAGCUGUCCUGGCAAAGAUAAGAAUGUUACACCAGUGUCUGCAAUGUGUGGCAGAGAAGUCUCCAGAGUGGAUGGGGAUGGCCAUGCUCAAGGAAGUCCAAAGAAAGAAUCCUCCUUCCUGGGACAUGGAGAGAUCAGAAAACAGUCUGCUCUACUGCACAGUUUCCAUGAGAAAAGUCAUUCAGAGCCAUCAGUGAGCAGAGUGCAAAAUAAAGAGCCCAGUGAGCAGCAUGUGGUCGUCAGAGAGCCCCAUAUCCCUAAAUCAGUCCUGCUGACAUCUCGGUCCAAAGAGUUGAAGAAGGAAGCUUCUCAUGUGACUUUUCAGCCUGAACCUGAAGAAGAUACCAUACCUGUCAGCAACUGGUCUGCCUGUCCUUUACUGGGCUAUGACUGGAUUGCAGGGCUCCUUGAUACAAAGUCUCCAGUAACAGAAAAACCUGAGCAAUACUUUGCUGAGCUGCAGGAGUUCCGACAGUCCAACAGGGACACUUGUUUUCAUCAGCAGCACCUGGAGCCCAAGGCUCUGGAUCCACAAGAAUUGGAUUCCAUAACUGGUUCUCAUAAGUGUGUUUACUGUUACCGACUGAACCAGCGCCUCUUCACCAUCCCUGUGGAUUCACAAUCUGCCUGCCCUGUGUGUAAGAUCCCAUGUACCCACCAGCCCUCAGGGACACUGGAAGAGCCAGCCUAUGUCAGGGUCAGCAUUCCCAGGUCUGCCCUUUUGCCAGCCUACAAAUACAGAGCCCAUCGCAGGAGGAGCUUUGAGGCUGCAGAUGAUCUGGCACUGCCUUCGCAUUGCCUGGCUGGCUGGGAAAACAUGGUCCCUUCCAGCAGGGCCCUGCUCAGCAGCUUGGAUCUGCGAGCCUCCUUGGAGGAGAAGCCUUCUCCCUCUCCUCCCCUGGACUCAGUGUCCAGUGUCAGGAGGAGCCAAAACUGGUGAGUUUCUACACCUGCCUCACUUGGCACAGCUGAGGUUCAGCAGAGCAAACCAGGACACCAGACAGCAGCUCUCAGUUCAGACCCCACUCCGUCAGCACUCUGCACCGUUGACUUGAUUGUCCUGGGGAAGGGAUGGGCACAGCACAUGGUGACAACUCAGCAAUGAAGCACUUUGGGAAACAAUGAAUCUUUGGACAGAUUUUCCCCGGUUUUCAUGGUCAUGCGUGGUUGUGAGCAACCAACGUAGAGAUAGGACUUUGUACAGCCCACUCUGCUCACUUUGCAUUUUUUGCCUUUUACAGCUACUUGUGAGCAGCUGCAGGAGCUGUCCCAGCUAGGGCUGGAUAAAGUCAUGUCCAGGAUCAGCAGUGCAUCUCUCACCUCAACUGAGUCACCAGCAGUGUAGCAAUAGCUCUGAAUGCCAGGGUGAGGAAUUGGCCUGUGAAGGGCCUGGGUCAGUGGAGUGACACAGAUAUGUUUAUUUCCAAAUAUUUGAAACAUGAUACACAAUUUUCUAGUGCCUUAAACUUGAGUACCUCAAAAAUUUGUAAAAAUUCUAAAACUCCAGUUUAUUCUCAGUGCAAUGUGUGUAGCUAUAGAGUGUAUUACAUCAGAGUAAAUGAACGUGAAAAAAAAAUGUUAAAAUGAGAUUUUAUUCAUCAAUGAGCUAGAUAAUGCCUUAAAAUGUUUGCAAAUUUUGUUUACUUUUCCAAGUUUUCUGGAGAUAAACCAAAAAAUUAUUUUAGAACUUUUGGUUUGGUACAAUUUAAACUACUACACAAAGUGUGAUUUGUUUGAA
rnacentral:lncRNA from 12 species